rfam:Spinacia oleracea cultivar SynViroflay scaffold120.con0012.1, whole genome shotgun sequence.
UGGGGCGUGGCCAAGUGGUAAGGCGUCGGGUUUUGAUCCCGCUAUUCGGAGGUUCGAAUCCUUCCGUCCCAG